rnacentral:lncRNA from 1 species
UCACUAUGCCUGCUUCGAUGAGUCUUGAGAGGAGAAUUAUCCUCCUUGCCUUUGGCGCUCAAUUGAUUCUCACUGAUCCUGCUAAGGGUAUGAAAGGUGCUGUUCAGAAGGCGGAGGAAAUAAAGGCCAAGACACCUAAUUCCUACAUUCUUCAGCAAUUUGAGAACCCUGCCAACCCAAAGGUAUUGUUCUCAUUUGUCAGCUUAUUGGUAAUUGGUGGUUUCUUCUGUUAAACUUUUUUCUAUUAUACUGAGUGU